rnacentral:rRNA from 1 species
UGGGCGCAUGUCCUUACACAUGACAAGUCGAACGGCAGCACGGGAGCAAUCCUGGGUGGCGUAGUGGCGAACGGGUGAGUAAUAUAUCGGAACGUGCCCAGUCGGUGGGGGAAUAACGUAGACGAAAGCUACGCUAAUACCGCAUACGAUCUAUGGAUGAAAGCGGGGGAUCGCAAGACCUCGCGCGAUUGGAGCGGCCGAUAUCAGAUUAGGUAGUUGGUGAGGUAAAGGCUCACCAAGCCGACGAUCUGUAGCUGGUCUGAGAGGACGACCAGCCACACUGGGACUGAGACACGGCCCAGACUCCUACGGGAGGCAGCAGUGGGGAAUUUUGGACAAUGGGCGCAAGCCUGAUCCAGCAAUGCCGCGUGCAGGAUGAAGGCCUUCGGGUUGUAAACUGCUUUUGUACGGAACGAAACGGUGAGCUCUAAUACAGUUUGCUAAUGACGGUACCGUAAGAAUAAGCACCGGCUAACUACGUG